rnacentral:rRNA from 1 species
CCAAUAGCGUAUAUUAAAGUUGUUGCGGUUAAAACGUUCGUAGUUGAACUUGUGCUUCAUACGGGUAGUACAACUUACAAUUGUGGUUAGUACUAUACCUUUAUGUAUGUAAGCGUAUUACCGGUGGAGUUCUUAUAUGUGAUUAAAUACUUGUAUUUUUUCAUAUGUUCCUCCUAUUUAAAAACCUGCAUUAGUGCUCUUAAACGAGUGUUAUUGGGGGCCGGUACUAUUACUUUGAACAAAUUAGAGUGCUUAAAGCAGGCUUCAAAUGCCUGAAUAUUCUGUGCAUGGGAUAAUGAAAUAAGACCUCUGUUCUGCUUUCAUUGGUUUUCAGAUCAAGAGGUAAUUAUUAAUAGAAGCAGUUUGAGGGCAUUAGUAUUACGACGCGGGAGGUGAAAUUCUUGGACCGUCGUAAGACUAACUUAAGCGAAAGCAUUUGCCAAAGAUGUUUUCAUUAAUCAAGAACGAAAGUUAGAGGUUCGAAGGCGAUCAGAUACCGCCCUAGUUCUAACCAUAAACGAUGCCAGCUAGCAAUUGGGCGUAGCUACUUUUAUGGCUCUCUCAGUCGCUUCCCGGGAAACCAAAGCUUUUGGGCUCCGGGGGAAGUAUGGUUGCAAAGCUGAAACUUAAAGGAAUUGACGGAAGGGCACCACCAGGAGUGGAGCCUGCGGCUUAAUUUGACUCAACACGGGAAAACUUACCAGGUCCGAACAUAAGUGUGUAAGACAGAUUGAUAGCUCUUUCUCGAAUCUAUGGGUGGUGGUGCAUGGGCGUUCUUAGUUCGUGGAGUGAUUUGUCUGGUUAAUUCCGAUAACGAACGAGACUCAAAUAUAUUAAAUAGAUAUCUUCAGGAUUAUGGUGCUGAAGCUUAUGUAGCCUUCAUUCAUGUUGGCAGUAAAAUGCUUAUUGUGUUUGAAUGUGUUUAUGUAAGUGGAGCCGUACCUGUUGGUUUGUCCCAUUAUAAGGACACUAGCUUCUUAAAUGGAUAAAUUGCGUCUUGCAAUAAUGAGAUUGGACAAUAACAGGUCUGUGAUGCACUUAGAUGUCCUGGGCCCGCGUGCAGGCUACAAUGAAAGUAUCAACGUGUACACGUUUCUAGACCGAGAGGUCCGGGUAAAACGCUGAACCACUUUCAUGCUCGGAAUUGUGAACUGAAACUGUUCACAUGAACUUGGAAUUUCCAUUAACUCGCAUUCAUUACGUCCCAGCCCUGUGUACACACUGCCGUCGCUACUACCGAUUGAAUUAUUUAGUGAGGCCUCCGGA